UGGCCAAGCUAGAAGAGUCCUUAGAAACCA
rnacentral:piRNA from 1 species